AAAUUGAAGAGUUUGAUCAUGGCUCAGAUUGAACGCUGGCGGCAGGCCUAACACAUGCAAGUCGAACGGUAACAGGAAUCAGCUUGCUGAUUCGCUGACGAGUGGCGGACGGGUGAGUAAUGUCUGGGAAACUGCCUGAUGGAGGGGGAUAACUACUGGAAACGGUAGCUAAUACCGCAUAACGUCGCAAGACCAAAGAGGGGGACCUUCGGGCCUCUUGCCAUCGGAUGUGCCCAGAUGGGAUUAGCUAGUAGGUGGGGUAACGGCUCACCUAGGCGACGAUCCCUAGCUGGUCUGAGAGGAUGACCAGCCACACUGGAACUGAGACACGGUCCAGACUCCUACGGGAGGCAGCAGUGGGGAAUAUUGCACAAUGGGCGCAAGCCUGAUGCAGCCAUGCCGCGUGUAUGAAGAAGGCCUUCGGGUUGUAAAGUACUUUCAGCGGGGAGGAAGGGAGUAAAGUUAAUACCUUUGCUCAUUGACGUUACCCGCAGAAGAAGCACCGGCUAACUCCGUGCCAGCAGCCGCGGUAAUACGGAGGGUGCAAGCGUUAAUCGGAAUUACUGGGCGUAAAGCGCACGCAGGCGGUUUGUUAAGUCAGAUGUGAAAUCCCCGGGCUCAACCUGGGAACUGCAUCUGAUACUGGCAAGCUUGAGUCUCGUAGAGGGGGGUAGAAUUCCAGGUGUAGCGGUGAAAUGCGUAGAGAUCUGGAGGAAUACCGGUGGCGAAGGCGGCCCCCUGGACGAAGACUGACGCUCAGGUGCGAAAGCGUGGGGAGCAAACAGGAUUAGAUACCCUGGUAGUCCACGCCGUAAACGAUGUCGACUUGGAGGUUGUGCCCUUGAGGCGUGGCUUCCGGAGCUAACGCGUUAAGUCGACCGCCUGGGGAGUACGGCCGCAAGGUUAAAACUCAAAUGAAUUGACGGGGGCCCGCACAAGCGGUGGAGCAUGUGGUUUAAUUCGAUGCAACGCGAAGAACCUUACCUGGUCUUGACAUCCACAGAACUUUCCAGAGAUGGAUUGGUGCCUUCGGGAACUGUGAGACAGGUGCUGCAUGGCUGUCGUCAGCUCGUGUUGUGAAAUGUUGGGUUAAGUCCCGCAACGAGCGCAACCCUUAUCCUUUGUUGCCAGCGGUCCGGCCGGGAACUCAAAGGAGACUGCCAGUGAUAAACUGGAGGAAGGUGGGGAUGACGUCAAGUCAUCAUGGCCCUUACGACCAGGGCUACACACGUGCUACAAUGGCGCAUACAAAGAGAAGCGACCUCGCGAGAGCAAGCGGACCUCAUAAAGUGCGUCGUAGUCCGGAUUGGAGUCUGCAACUCGACUCCAUGAAGUCGGAAUCGCUAGUAAUCGUGGAUCAGAAUGCCACGGUGAAUACGUUCCCGGGCCUUGUACACACCGCCCGUCACACCAUGGGAGUGGGUUGCAAAAGAAGUAGGUAGCUUAACCUUCGGGAGGGCGCUUACCACUUUGUGAUUCAUGACUGGGGUGAAGUCGUAACAAGGUAACCGUAGGGGAACCUGCGGUUGGAUCACCUCCUUACCUUAAAGAA
rnacentral:rRNA from 2 species